AAAAGAGGUCCGUCGACUCUUUAAACCUACCGUGCUCCCCCUAGUGGAAAAAUAUGAGAGCCCCCCCGGGGCAUCGGGAAUCUGAGAAGUGGGAAGAACUGCGCCCAGGCGCAUGACCGAUGAAAUCA
rnacentral:misc_RNA from 1 species